rnacentral:rRNA from 1 species
UACAGAGGGGGCAAGCGUUGUUCGGAAUUACUGGGCGUAAAGGGCGCGUAGGCGGCCUGUUAAGUCGAACGUGAAAUCCCCGGGCUCAACCCGGGAACUGCGUCCGAUACUGGCAGGCUUGAAUCCGGGAGAGGGAUGUGGAAUUCCAGGUGUAGCGGUGAAAUGCGUAGAUAUCUGGAGGAACACCGGUGGCGAAGGCGGUCUCCUGGGCCGAGGGCCGACGCUGAGGCGCGAGAGCGUGGGGAGCGAACCGG